AUUGAACGCUGGCGACAGGCCUAACACAUGCAAGUCGAACGAGUGGCGGACGGGUGAUUAAUGUCUGGGCAACUGCCUGAUGGAGGGGGAUAACUACUGGAAACGGUAGCUAAUACCGCAUACUAUCGGAUGUGCCCCGAUGGGAUUAGCUAGUAGGUGGGGUAAAGGCUCACCUAGGCGACGAUCCCUAGCUGGUCUGAGAGGAUGACCAGCGACACUGGAACUGAGACACGGUCCAGAGUCCUACGGGAGGCAGCAGUGGGGAAUAUGGCACAAUGGGCGCAAGCCUGAUGCAGCCGUGCCGAGUGUAUGAAGAAGGCCUUCGGGUUGUAAAGUACUUUCAGCGGGGAGGCGUUACCCGCAGAAGAAGCACCGGCUAACUCCGUGCCAGCAGCCGCGGUAAUAC
rnacentral:rRNA from 1 species